GACGAACGCUGGAGGCGUGCUUAACACAUGCAAGUCGAACGAUGAAAUGGAGCUUGCUCCAUGGAUUAGUGGCGAACGGGUGAGUAACACGUGAAUAACCUGCCCUUAAUUUUGGAAUAACCCAGGGAAACCUGGGCUAAUACCGGAUAAGUAAACCUGUGGCAUCACAUGGUUCUGGAAAGUUUUUCGAUUAAGGAUGGAUUCGCGGCCUAUCAGCUUGUUGGUGAGGUAAUGGCUCACCAAGGCGACGACGGGUAGCCGGCCUGAGAGGGUGAGCGGCCACCCUGUGACUGAGACACGGCCCAGACUCCAACGGGAGGCAGCAGUGGGGAAUAUUGCGCGAUGGACGAAAGUCUGACGCAGCGACGCCUCGUGAGGGACGAAGGUCUUCGGAUUGUAAACCUCUGUCAGCAGGGACGAAGCGAAAGUGACGGUACCUGCAGAAGAAGCACCGGCUAACUAUGUGCCAGCCGCCGCAGUAA
rnacentral:rRNA from 1 species